ACAGUCACACAUUAGAUACCCGCGUAGUCCUAGCCGUAAACGAUACUCGCUAGGUGUCGGCCACGGUGCGACCGUUGUCGGUGCCGUAGGGAAGCCGUGAAGCGAGCCACCUGGGAAGUACGGCCGCAAGGCUGAAACUUAAAGGAAUUGGCGGGGGAGCACCACAACGGGUGGAGCUUGCGGUUUAAUUGGAUUCAACGCCGGAAAUCUUACCGGGACCGACAGCAACAUGAAGGCCAGGCUGAAGACUUUGCCGGAUUAGCUG
rnacentral:rRNA from 1 species